rnacentral:lncRNA from 1 species
CUCUCUCUCUCCAUUAAGCAAAGCGCCCGCCCUCGUCCUAAAGCUGACCGAAGAAUUCCAAAUUUACGAAGAUCUUGGAAAGUAGAUAGGUUCUCUAAUCAACCAUCAAAAUUUGCAUCAGAUGUGAUGUAUAUACACGAGGAAAAAGAAGAACAUUACAAGGAGAGUCCAAAAUUUGACUUGAAAGAAAGAAAAGGAACAAAAAAAAAAAUGGAAGAAUCCCUCCAAGGAAGGACGUUGGAGCUACGGUUUACUUGUUCUGGGUAGGGUUCGAUCCGCUCCUCGGCGCCCGCCUAAGGCUCGGCUCCACAGCUUUCUUGGGCUGAAUGUUCUUGCGGGUCGUCGACCGCUCGUAGCCUGUCGAGACGGAGGCCCUCAUGGCCAUGAGCUUCCUCGAGCUCAUCACGUUCGAGCUCUUCUCCGAGGCGCCCGAACCGCUCCCCGUUCCGUGGCGAACGGACGAUGCGAAGAAGAAGCACGAGACGAGAAUGCAGACCGAAAGCAAGGCGAUGAGAGGAAGGAGACGAUGAACUCUGGAGCUGAACUUCAUUGUGUUAGCUGCAGCAAGUGUCUGAGUGAGUGAGUGAAAGAUGGUUGAAAAGUCGGACGAUGAUGGGGUUUCUUUUUAUAUACCAAGAACGUGGAGGCAAUAGCAGUGCUUAGUAGUGG